CGCCCUGGGCGGGAGGUGUGCGCACGUGGCCCCUGUCCCCGGGUGUCUGUGUUUUCGACUGCGGCGGGAAGUGUGUGCGCGCACGUGGUCGGCGGCUGUUUUCUCUGGCGUUCGCGGAGCGUAAACAGCCGCGCCUCCUCCCCGCGGCCCCCGCCGGCAGAGCCCCCCUUCCGGCACCUAAAUCGGGAGCCGCCGUGACUCACGCACCGCCUCCCCCAGCGCCGCGCCGAGCGAGCGAGCGGGAUCCGGGCCCUCCCCUCCCCCCCCACGCCCCGGUCCAGGCCAAGGCCGAGGGGUGUGGGGGGGCGGCGGGGCGGGGGUCCGCACGGAGACGAGGGCCGCGCUCCCGGGCUCCUCGGGGGCUCUGGCUCUCACUGGCUGGGGCGCUCCCGGGGGACCCCGGCUUCUGCGCCCUUGCUCCCCAUUCUCCGUCUCCCCGGGGCCAGGCCACGCCGUCUGCCACCACCCUCCCCCCACUUCUUAUAAAAGCCGGUUUCCAACCCC